rnacentral:rRNA from 1 species
AUUGAACGCUGGCGGCAGGCCUAACACAUGCAAGUCGAGCGGAAACGAAGGGAGCUUGCUCCCAGGCGUCGAGCGGCGGACGGGUGAGUAACACGUGAGAAUCUGCCCAUUAGGGGGGGACAACUCGGGGAAACUCGAGCUAAUACCGCAUAAUCCCUAAGGGGGAAAGCAGGGGACCUCUUGUCCUUGCGCUGAUGGAUGAGCUCACGUCGGAUUAGCUUGUUGGUGAGGUAAAGGCGCACCAAGGCGACGAUCCGUAGCUGGUCUGAGAGGAUGAUCAGCCACACUGGGACUGAGACACGGCCCAGACUCCUACGGGAGGCAGCAGUGGGGAAUCUUGGACAAUGGGGGCAACCCUGAUCCAGCCAUGCCGCGUGUGUGAAGAAGGCCUUCGGGUUGUAAAGCACUUUCAGCAGGGAGGAAGGCUUUGGCCGAAUAGGUUGAAGUACUUGACGUUACCUGCAGAAGAAGCACCGGCUAAUUUCGUGCCAGCCGCCGCGGUAA